GACGAACGCUGGCGGCGUGCCUAACACAUGCAAGUCGAACGAACAGACCCGAGUUCUUUCACUUUCUGACGUUAGCGGCGGGCGGGUGAGGAAUACGUGGGCUACCUUUCUCUUAGGCCUGGCUUAAUUCGGGUAACCCUAGUUAAUACUGGAUAAUACUUCUCCUUGCUUGAAGUUAUAGAGAUUGACGGGUUUGGUAUUACCUCUAGAUGUACCCGCGUUGUAUUUGGUUGUUGGUGUGGUAACGGCUCACCAAGGCAACGAUACAUAGCCGAGCUGGGAGGGUGAUCGGCCACACUGGGACUGAGACACGGCCCAGACUCCUACGGGAGGCAGCAGUAGGGAAUCUUACGCAAUGGACGAAAGUCUGACGGAGCAAUGCCGCGUGAGUGAAGAAGGUUUUCGGAUCGUAAAACUCUGUUGUAAGGGAAGAACAAGUACGUUAGUAACUGAACGUACCUUGACGGUACCUUACCAGAAAGCCACGGCUAACUACGUG
rnacentral:rRNA from 1 species